GACGAACGCUGGCGGCGUGCUUAACACAUGCCAGUCGAACGGGCCUGUCUUCUUUUUUGGGGGGUGGGUUGAGUGGCGAACGGGUGAGUAUCACGUGAGUAACCUGCCCUUCGGUCCUGGAUAACCGCUUGAAAGGGCGGCUAAUACGGGGUGGUCCGGUUGGUCCGCAUGGGCUGGUCGGGAUAGAUUCACUGUUUUUGGUGUUUCGGCGGGGGAUGGGCUCGCGGCCUAUCAGCUUGUUGGCGGGGUGAUGGCCUACCAAGGCGGUGACGGGUAGCCGGCCUGAGAGGGUGGGCGGCCACACUGGGACUGAGAUACGGCCCAGACUCCUGCGGGAGGCAGCAGUGGGGGGUAUUGCACAAUGGGCGGAAGCCUGAUGCAGCGACGUCGCGUGAGGGAUGGAGGCCUUCGGGUUGUGAACCUCUGUUUCCGGUGGUGAAGGCCCUGUCCGUGUGGUGGGGUUGACGGUAGCCGGGGAUGAAGCGCCGGCUAACUACGUG
rnacentral:rRNA from 1 species